rnacentral:rRNA from 1 species
UACAUGGGGUGCAAACGUUGCUCGGAAUCAUUGGGCGUAAAGCGCGCGUAGGCGGUUACACAAGUUGGAUGUGAAAGCCCUCGGCUUAACUGAGGAAGUGCAUCCAAAACUGUGCAGCUAGAGUACUAAAGGGUGCGCGGAAUUCCCGGUGUAGAGGUGAAAUUCGUAGAUAUCGGGAGGAACACCGGUGGCGAAGGCGGCGACCUGGGUAGAUACUGACGCUGAGGCGCGAAAGCGUGGGGAGCAAACAGG